GAUGAGAACGUAGCGAAAUGCGAUAAGUAGUGUGAAUUGCAGAAUUCAGUGAAUCAUCGAAUCUUUGAACGCACAUUGCGCCCCUUGGUAUUCCAUGGGGCAUGCCUGUUCGAGCGUCAUUUGUACCUUCAAGCUUUGCUUGGUGUUGGGUGUUUGUCCCUCGGGACUCGCCUUAAAGUCAUUGGCAGCCAGUGUUUUGGUUUUGAAGCGCAGCACAAGUCGCGAUUCAAGGCUAUCCGCCCGCUUCCACAAGCCUUUUUCACUUUUGACCUCGGAUCAGGUAGGGAUACCCGCUGAACUUAAGCAUAUCAAUAAGCGGAGGA
rnacentral:misc_RNA from 1 species